CUUCCUCCUCCUGGCUCCCAACUUGUUUCUUCUUUCUUAUGUGCCAGUUGCUGUGCUGAGGAUAUGAAGCUAAAUAAGCCUCUCUCCUUUUCCUCAUGAAGCUCAAAAGCUUAGAUAGGAAGCAAAUAAAUAUAAUAUAGCAUGAUAAUUGCAAGAAUAUUAACAUGUCCAAAAGUUAAAGAGAGAAAGCAUAAAGAAGAAAGUGAUGAGCUCUGAGGGGUUGAGGCUUUUGCUCUCUCUUAAAUUGAUUGCUAUUUAGCACCCAUCAAAAGCUCUGCAGAGGGGACCAUCAUUAACGGCAUUUACGAAGACAUCCACUUAUUCCAACAGCAGGAGGAAGACCAACGCUUCUUAUCAUAAACACAAGUUCCUGCUAUACACAACACAUCCUUGAAUUCUAGGGAAGCCAAGAUGUACAUGAAAUGACUGCAGGUCUUAAAGGUCUUGAAUCUAAUUGUGGCACUGGGGCAUAUGUAGAGAUAAAUAUCACGUAGCAUAUGCUAAGGUGAUUUCGAAGAUCUAUUCUAUCUUAAGACACUGUAAGUCUAAUUAUUAAAUGAGCAAUACAGACAUUUAGUCAAAGUGUGUUCUGUUUUGAGGGAGCUGCUUAAAUACUGGUAUUUUAGCCAAUAUUUUUCUUUCUGAGGGUUGUAAAAUUUGGGGGUAACUGUAUUAGUCCAUUUUCAUGCUGCUGAUAAAGACAUACCCAAGACUAGGCAAUUUAAAAAAGAAAGAGGUUAAAUUGACUUACAGUUCCACAUGGCUGGGGAUGCCUCACAAUCCUGGCAGAAGGCAAGGAGGAGCAAGUCACAUCUUACAUGAAUGGCAGCAGGCAGAGAUAGCUUGUGCAGGAAAACUCUCCUUUUUUAAAAAACACCAGAUCUUGGGAGACUUAUUC
rnacentral:lncRNA from 10 species